GAAAAUAUCUCGAAGCUAGAAUGCAGCUUGGAUCGAACAAGUCACAUCGACUCCUUCAGAUGGCGGACGAAGAUCUAGAGAGCAAAAUCGACUGCACGACUGAAGGAAGGAUGUAGAUCUGCAUGCUUCAUGUGAAAUUGAAACAGUUGGGCUACCUUCGUUCUUCUUAUCAUUUACCCCCUAUAGUUACUUCUGCUGCAGCCGGUUAAGUUACAAACAAAACGAUAAGGUGGCGUCGUUUAAGCAACGCUAUCACCCUGUUGUCCGCAUGAUCUCGUUCGACAAACGCGACAGGCGGACGCCCAGAGACUCAACAGCCGACUGGUAACACGCCAUGUUAGGCGUGUCUGUGAAGACACAAUAAGUUGUCCCUUGCUAAGUUGAAUGCAAAUAAUACAGAGCCGCCUGCGAAUUUGUGAGCAUCACCAAGUCGGCUGUGUUUGCAACUGCGACAGGCAGGAAAAGGUAAAGGAGAACAAAUCGUAGCAGUAGAUGAUGAAGACGAAAACAACUUUCAGGCUUCUUGAGCCUAACGUCCUGUAUCCGCUCCCCUCUAUAUUCGACCGCUGAGUGCCGUCGGUCAUUGCAAGUCGCAUCGCCAUGUGUCGUAUAUAGGCAGAUACGCGUGAAACAAUUUUACAGACAACUGCCAUUAUAUACAUACAAUUUACGUUGACCACUGAUGAUUAAGGCUCUACUCGGAGAUAAAGAAGAGAUGAAAACUGUUGAUGUGUGUGCAAUACAGUUUCUACGAGAUUGUGCCAACGACGAGGGAAGGCAGUAGAAGUCCGAAGUACCAAAUCAGUAUUCGUUCGAAGGCGGGUGUACGUCUAUAUUCGACAACAAGUCUAUGGUUAUGGUGUGCAAAGGCCAAGCGUCACCUCAUUAACGCAUUUAUACAAAUGCUUCUCAAUGCGACGUGGACAGAGACGACCGAGAGAAGUUAUUCGACGGGAAAGAAGCGUAUUCAGUACAACGGAAAUACCCUAACUCCGCUCAGACCCUGCAUCAAAGUUGUUACUAUGCAUUGGCAAUCAUGUUUCUGCUGAUGCAUUGUGAUACACUGCCACUUGUCAACUAACGUUUCCACUGACACGCGGCGUACCAUCAACCGCGUCUGCUUUGAUGGCAACAAAGGACCAGCUCAUAGUGCGCUAACAGUUGGGGCAGGGAGAGGAGACAAAAUAUAAUGACUGUACCCCGGCCGAAAAAACAGACCUGCGAUUUUGGUCGGUACCCUGACCAUUUUGAAAACUCGAACUUGCUCUGUCAGGGUCUGUGCUUUUGCAUACAUGCACCGGACGGACGAGUAUAAUAUUAAACCUUCAUAUGCCCAAUUGUG